GGAAUUACUGGGCGUAAAGGGAGCGUAGGCGGGUUAUCAAGUUGGGGGUGAAAGCCCGGGGCUCAACCUCGGAAUUGCCUUCAAAACUGAUAACCUAGAGUAUGGGAGAGGUAAGCGGAACUCCGAGUGUAGAGGUGAAAUUCGUAGAUAUUCGGAAGAACACCAGUGGCGAAGGCGGCUUACUGGCCCAUUACUGACGCUGAGGCUCGAAAGCGUGGGGAGCAAACAGGAUUAGAUACCCUGGUAGUCCACGCCGUAAACGAUGAUUGCUAGUUGUCAGCCGGCAUGCCGGUUGGUGACGCAGCU
rnacentral:rRNA from 1 species